UGGGGAAUAUUGGACAAUGGGCGAAAGCCUGAUCCAGCAAUGCCGCGUGAGUGAUGAAGGCCCUCGGGUCGUAAAGCUCUUUUACCCGGGAUGAUAAUGACAGUACCGGGAGAAUAAGCUCCGGCUAACUCCGUGCCAGCAGCCGCGGUAAUACGGAGGGAGCUAGCGUUGUUCGGAAUUACUGGGCGUAAAGCGCACGUAGGCGGCUACACAAGUCAGAGGUGAAAGCCCGGGGCUCAACCCCGGAACUGCCUUUGAAACUAGGUGGCUAGAAUCUUGGAGAGGCGAGUGGAAUUCCGAGUGUAGAGGUGAAAUUCGUAGAUAUUCGGAAGAACACCAGUGGCGAAGGCGACUCGCUGGACAAGUAUUGACGCUGAGGUGCGAAAGCGUGGGGAGCAAACAGG
rnacentral:rRNA from 1 species